UACGGAGGGGGCGAGCGUUGUCCGAAGUUACUGGGCGUAAAGGGCGCGUAGGCGGGGUGUCACGUCCGCUGUGAAAACCUGCAGCUUAACUGUGGGCGUGCGGUCGAUACGGGCAUCACUGGAGUUCGGCAGGGGAGACUGGAAUUCCUGGUGUAGCGGUGAAAUGCGCAGAUAUCAGGAGGAACACCGGUGGCGAAGGCGGGUCUCUGGGCCGAUACUGACGCUGAGGAGCGAAAGCGUGGGGAGCGAACAGG
rnacentral:rRNA from 1 species